GAUGAACGCUGGCGGCGUGCCUAAUACAUGCAAGUCGAGCGAACAGAUGAGGAGCUUGCUCCUCUGACGUUAGCGGCGGACGGGUGAGUAACACGUGGAUAACCUACCUAUAAGACUGGUAUAACUUCGGGAAACCGGAGCUAAUACCGGAUAAUAUAUUGAACCGCAUGGUUCAAUAGUGAAAGACGGUUUUGCUGUCACUUAUAGAUGGAUCCGCGCCGCAUUAGCUAGUUGGUAAGGUAACGGCUUACCAAGGCAACGAUGCGUAGCCGACCUGAGAGGGUGAUCGGCCACACUGGAACUGAGCCACGGUCCAGACUCCUACGGGAGGCAGCAGUAGGGAAUCUUCCGCAAUGGGCGAAAGCCUGACGGAGCAACGCCGCGUGAGUGAUGAAGGUCUUCGGAUCGUAAAACUCUGUUAUUAGGGAAGAACAAAUGUGUAAGUAACUAUGCACGUCUUGACGGUACCUAAUCAGAAAGCCACGGCUAACUACGUG
rnacentral:rRNA from 1 species